CGCCCUCGAGUGGGGGACGAAAGUUGGAAACGACUGCUAAUACCGCAUACGAUCCAAUCUCGGCAUCGAGACUGGAUGAAAGGUGGCCUCUAUUUAUAAGCUAUCACUGAAGGAGGGGAUUGCGUCUGAUUAGCUAGUUGGAGGGGUAACGGCCCACCAAGGCGAUGAUCAGUAGCCGGUCUGAGAGGAUGAACGGCCACAUUGGGACUGAGACACGGCCCAG
rnacentral:rRNA from 1 species